rnacentral:rRNA from 1 species
AGAGCGAACGCUGGCGGCAGGCCUAAUACAUGCAAGUCGAACGGACCCUUCGGGGUUAGUGGCGGACGGGGUGAGUAACACGUGGGAACGUGCCCUUUGGUUCGGAACAACUCAGGGAAACUUGAGCUAAUACCGAAUGUGCCCCCAUUUUUAAACAAGAUGGAUGGGAAAGAUUUAUCGCCAUUGGAGCGGCCCGCGUCUGAUUAGCUAGUUGGUGAGGUAAAGGCUCACCAAGGCGACGGAUCAGUAGCUGGUCUGAGAGGAUGAUCAGCCACACUGGGACUGAGACACGGCCCAGACUCCUACGGGAGGCAGCAGUAGGGAAUCUUGCGCAAGUGGGCGAAAAGCCUGACGCAGCCAUGCCGCGUGAAUGAUGAAGGUCUUAGGAUUGGUAAAAUUCUUUCAGUCGGGGACGAUAAUGAACGGUACCCGCAGAAGAAGCCCCGGCUAACUUCGUAGCCAGCAGCCGC